AGACCCGAAACCCGGUGAUCUAGCCAUGGGCAGGUUGAAGGUUGGGUAACACUAACUGGAGGACCGAACCGACUAAUGUUGAAAAAUUAGCGGAUGACUUGUGGCUGGGGGUGAAAGGCCAAUCAAACCGGGAGAUAGCUGGUUCUCCCCGAAAGCUAUUUAGGUAGCGCCUCGUGAAUUCAUCUCCGGGGGUAGAGCACUGUUUCGGCAAGGGGGUCAUCCCGACUUACCAACCCGAUGCAAACUGCGAAUACCGGAGAAUGUUAUCACGGGAGACACACGGCGGGUGCUAACGUCCGUCGUGAAGAGGGAAACAACCCAGACCGCCAGCUAAGGUCCCAAAGUCAUGGUUAAGUGGGAAACGAUGUGGGAAGGCCCAGACAGCCAGGAUGUUGGCUUAGAAGCAGCCAUCAUUUAAAGAAAGCGUAAUAGCUCACUGGUCGAGUCGGCCUGCGCGGAAGAUGUAACGGGGCUAAACCAUGCACCGAAGCUGCGGCAGCGACACUGUGUGUUGUUGGGUAGGGGAGCGUUCUGUAAGCCUGUGAAGGUGUGCUGUGAGGCAUGCUGGAGGUAUCAGAAGUGCGAAUGCUGACAUAAGUAACGAUAAAGCGGGUGAAAAGCCCGCUCGCCGGAAGACCAAGGGUUCCUGUCCAACGUUAAUCGGGGCAGGGUGAGUCGACCCCUAAGGCGAGGCCGAAAGGCGUAGUCGAUGGGAAACAGGUUAAUAUUCCUGUACUUGGUGUUACUGCGAAGGGGGGACGGAGAAGGCUAUGUUGGCCGGGCGACGGUUGUCCCGGUUUAAGCGUGUAGGCUGGUUUUCCAGGCAAAUCCGGAAAAUCAAGGCUGAGGCGUGAUGACGAGGCACUACGGUGCUGAAGCAACAAAUGCCCUGCUUCCAGGAAAAGCCUCUAAGCAUCAGGUAACAUCAAAUCGUACCCCAAACCGACACAGGUGGUCAGGUAGAGAAUACCAAGGCGCUUGAGAGAACUCGGGUGAAGGAACUAGGCAAAAUGGUGCCGUAACUUCGGGAGAAGGCACGCUGAUAUGUAGGUGAAGUCCCUCGCGGAUGGAGCUGAAAUCAGUCGAAGAUACCAGCUGGCUGCAACUGUUUAUUAAAAACACAGCACUGUGCAAACACGAAAGUGGACGUAUACGGUGUGACGCCUGCCCGGUGCCGGAAGGUUAAUUGAUGGGGUCAGCGCAAGCGAAGCUCUUGAUCGAAGCCCCGGUAAACGGCGGCCGUAACUAUAACGGUCCUAAGGUAGCGAAAUUCCUUGUCGGGUAAGUUCCGACCUGCACGAAUGGCGUAAUGAUGGCCAGGCUGUCUCCACCCGAGACUCAGUGAAAUUGAACUCGCUGUGAAGAUGCAGUGUACCCGCGGCAAGACGGAAAGACCCCGUGAACCUUUACUAUAGCUUGACACUGAACAUUGAGCCUUGAUGUGUAGGAUAGGUGGGAGGCUUUGAAGUGUGGACGCCAGUCUGCAUGGAGCCGACCUUGAAAUACCACCCUUUAAUGUUUGAUGUUCUAACGUGGACCCGUGAUCCGGGUUGCGGACAGUGUCUGGUGGGUAGUUUGACUGGGGCGGUCUCCUCCUAAAGAGUAACGGAGGAGCACGAAGGUUGGCUAAUCCUGGUCGGACAUCAGGAGGUUAGUGCAAUGGCAUAAGCCAGCUUGACUGCGAGCGUGACGGCGCGAGCAGGUGCGAAAGCAGGUCAUAGUGAUCCGGUGGUUCUGAAUGGAAGGGCCAUCGCUCAACGGAUAAAAGGUACUCCGGGGAUAACAGGCUGAUACCGCCCAAGAGUUCAUAUCGACGGCGGUGUUUGGCACCUCGAUGUCGGCUCAUCACAUCCUGGGGCUGAAGUAGGUCCCAAGGGUAUGGCUGUUCGCCAUUUAAAGUGGUACGCGAGCUGGGUUUAGAACGUCGUGAGACAGUUCGGUCCCUAUCUGCCGUGGGCGCUGGAGAACUGAGGGGGGCUGCUCCUAGUACGAGAGGACCGGAGUGGACGCAU
rnacentral:rRNA from 1 species